GGGAUCAGUUUCUCGAAAUACUGGUCUCCCCAUGUCGCUCUCUCUCUCACUCUGGCUGAGUCUCCAUCUGGAGCGCGGAACCCACCAUGCUUACUAAUUAUGCCUGGGCUUCUAAGAUCCGACCGGGGAGGCCUCAGUGUCUCCUCUCCUUCGGGAGAACGGAAGGACGCCUGCGGCCUACACCAUUGAUUCUCAACCAGGAGUGGUUUUGCCUCCCAAGGGACAGUCAGCACUAUCUGAAGAGAUUUUUGGUUGUCACAACUUGGUGGAUGGUACUGUCAUCUAGAGGAUAGAAGCCAGGAAUGCUGCUCGACAUUCUACAACACACAGGACAGGCCCUCUGAAGCAAAGAAUUAUUCAGCCCAAAGUGUCCAAAAUGCCAACGUUGGAAAAACUUUGAUCCAGAUCACCUUACAUAUAUGCAUUUUAAAAGCUUCAUCAGCCUCUUUCAUCUAGAGAGAAUUCAUGGCCCUGAUGCUCCUCUGAAGCCAAGGACCUGGGUGGUGAGCAGCAACAACUUUGGGUGUGCACCAGGGACCCUGACCCCAGGCCUUGCAACAGUGAACUUGCUCUGGUUUUCCACGUUACCUGGAGCAAAACUGGCCUAUAACUUCAGUAUCCCACUUACCUUUUAAACUUUCUUUGACUUUGGUUCUUACAUUUUCUAACUGCUAUGCAUUUGGGACAAAGAGUUAUCUGGGCUGGAUGGCCACUGCAUAGUCAUUUUGCUGUGAUUUUAAAAAGAUAUUUGUUGUUCAGGAAAAAAAAGUAUUUAAAUGUACGUCUUCGAGACCACAAAAACCAUCUACAGAGCCUAACUCACUUCCUCUUAGAAAUUCCACAAAACAACUUUUUUAAAAGCACACUGGAAGGCAGACAAGACACAACAGAAACGGUUAAAACAAUACAUGAAUGGGUACAAAGUAUUCACAACCCACAAAGCAGUUAGGUAAUCGGCAAAAACAAUACAUUUUCAGAACGAAAGUCCUACUUGCUAGAGCAGUAAUCAGAAAAGAGGAAAUGAGCUCGUCUCUGAUCAUCUACAAGGUUUCACACGAGAAACAGAAUUCUACACUUUGACCAUGUGUUUUCUGUUUAUGAACAAGCUCUGUAAAACGAGUUGAUUUGAAUUUAAUUCCAUUCACAAAUGUUUAUUGCGGUUAGUGCUAGAGAAACGUGGCUGAGUAAAAUAAUGUCUGACUCCAGGAAUUCACAACUGGGGACGGCAGGGAGAGACAUACAAACAAAUAAUUAAGUUUUUUGAAGGGAUGAGUUAUAACUCACGGGAUCAAAACAUCAUGAUGUUAUAUCAUCAUAGCGGGUUGAGUAUAGUAUGAGGGUCUACACAUCUGGGCAUGGGUGUGGGAGCAACAGUUAAUUGUGUUGGGUGGUUGACAGGGAAAGUUGCAAUUGUGCCUGUCGUUGGAGUUUAGGUGAAGGC
ensembl:lncRNA